UGACAGCCGCCGCGGUAAUACGGAGGGGUUUCGCUUUGUUCGGAAUUACUGGGCGUAAAGCGCGCGUAGGCGGAUUGGAAAGUUGGGGGUGAAAUCCCGGGGCUCAACCUCGGAACUGCCUCCAAAACUGCCAGUCUAGAGUUCGAGAGAGGUGAGUGGAACUCCAAGUGUAGAGGUGAAAUUCGUAGAUAUUUGGAAGAACACCAGUGGCGAAGGCGGCUCACUGGCUCGAUACUGACGCUGAGGUGCGAAAGUGUGGGGAGCACACAGGAUUAGAUA
rnacentral:rRNA from 1 species